rnacentral:rRNA from 1 species
GGCCUCUUGCCAUCAGAUGUGCCCAGAUGGGAUUAGCUAGUAGGGGGGUAAUGGCUCACCUAGGGACAUCCUAGCUGGUUGAGGAUGACCCCCACUGGAAUGGACCGCAGACUCUACGGGAGGCAGCAGUGGGGAAUAUUGCCAGGGCGCAACCUGAUGCAGCCAUGCCGCGUUGUGAAGAAGGCCUCGGGUUGUAAAGCACUUUCAGCGAGGAGGAAGGUGUAGCUUAAUACGUUCAUCAAUUGACGUUACUCGCAGAAGAGCACCGGCUAACUCGUGCCAGCAGCGCGUAAUACGGAGGGUGCAAGCGUUAAUCGGAAUUACUGGGCGUAAAGCGCACGCAGGCGGUUUUUAAGUCAGAUGUAAAUCCCGGGCUCAACCUGGGAACUGCAUUAAACUGGCAAGCUAGAGUCUCGUAGAGGGGGGUAAAUUCCAUGUGUAGCGGUGAAAUGCGUAGAGAUCUGGAGGAAUACCGGUGGCGAAGGCGGCCCCCUGGACGAGACUGACGUCAGGUGCGAAAGCGUGGGGAGCAACAGGAUUAGUACCCUGGUAGUCCACGCGUAAACGAUGUGAUUUGGAGGUUGUGCCCUUGAGGCGUGGCUUCCGGAGCUAACGCGUUAAAUCGACCGCCUGGGGAGUACGGCCGCAAGGUUAAAAUCAAAUGAAUGACGGGGGCCCGCCAAGCGGUGGACAUGUGGUUUAAUUGAUGCAACGCGAAGACCUUAUACUCUUGACAUCCAGAGAACUUUCCAGAGAUGGAUUGGUCCUUCGGGAACUUGAGACAGGUGCUGCAUGGCGUCGUCAGCUCGUGUUGUGAAAUGUUGGGUUAAGUCCCGCAACGAGCGCAACCCUUAUCCUUUGUUGCCAGCGGUUCGCCGGGAACCAAAGGAAUGCCGGUAAAGGAGAAGGGGGGAUAUCAUCUCUGGGCCCUUAAUAGGGUCCACGUCAAGGGUAUAACAAAAGAAGCGACCCCGAGCAAGGACCCUAAAGUACGUCGUACUGGGUCUGCAACUCGACU